rnacentral:rRNA from 1 species
GACGAACGCUGGCGGCGUGCUUAACACAUGCAAGUCGAACGGUGAAAGCCGGCCUUUCUCUUCUGCUCCAGUGGCGAACGGGUGAGUAACACGUGAGUAACCUGCCCCAGACUCUGGGAUAACCGCUGGAAACGGCGUCUAAUACCGGAUACGAGCCCCAGCUGCAUGGCUACUGUCGGGAAAGUUCGUCGGUCGGGGAUGGACUCGCGGCCUAUCAGCUUGUUGGUGGGGUAACGGCUCACCAAGGCUACGACGGGUAGCCGGCCUGAGAGGGUGACCGGCCACACUGGGACUGAGAUACGGCCCAGACUCCUACGGGAGGCAGCAGUGGGGAAUAUUGCACAAUGGGCGGAAGCCUGAUGCAGCGACGCCGCGUGCGGGAUGACGGCCUUCGGGUUGUAAACCGCUUUCGGCUGUGAAGAAGCGAGAGUGACGGUACCGGGAGAAGAAGCACCGGCUAACUACGUG